rnacentral:rRNA from 1 species
UAGGCAGGUACAGCGGGAAGCCAGCGGCGACGCCGAGCGGAACCCGAAAACCCUGUCUCAGUUCGGAUCGGAGUCUGCAACCCGACUCCGUGAAGCUGGAUUCGCUAGUAAUCGCGCAUCAGCCAUGGCGCGGUGAAUAUGUUCCCGGGCCUUGUACACACCGCCCGUCAAGCCAUGGAAGCCGGGGGUGCCUGAAGUGUGCAGCCGCAAGGAGCGCCCUAAGGUAAAACCGGUGACUGGGGCUAAGUCGUAACAAGGUAAC